rnacentral:lncRNA from 1 species
UUUUUUUUUUUUUAAUCAAUUUUGCCACUCUGUGUCUUUUGAUUGGAGCAUUCAGCUCUUGAUAUUUAAGGUAAUUAUUGAUAAAUGUGCAUUUAUUAUAUAUUUUAAACCUUGUUUUCCUGUUGAUUCUAUGUUUAUCCUUUGUUCCUUUCUUUUCUGUUGUGUUUUGGUUAAAUUAUUUUCUGUUAGUUUAUGCUUGUAUCCUCUUCUUUUAGUUUUUGUAAAUGUAUUAUUUGGUUUUGAUUUGUGAUUGCCCUGUUUUCCAAGUGUGUUAACCCUUUCCUAUAUCUGCUUGCUUUAGCCUGAUAGUCAUAUAGACUCAAACAUAUUCUUAAAAAAAAUGAGUCUAGAUUUUCUUACUUUCCUCCCCAACAUUUUAUGACAUUGAAACAUCUUUUUGUUUUUCCUUUUGCUGUUCCUUGUGUUUAUUGUCGCUUUUACAACAGUUUUUUUUUUUCCUUUUAUAUCUGUAUACUGGCUUACUUAAGUGAUUUCUUUCCAACUGUGAUUCCUCCAUUCUAUUUCUUCUUACUACAUUUUAUUUAGAGGAGCCCUUUCAGUAUUUCUUUUAGAAUAGGUUUAGUAUUGCAGUACUCUUUUAGUUUUUGUUUGUUGGAUAAAUACUUUAUUCUUUAUUUCUCCUUCUAUUUUGAAUGAUAAUCUUUCUGGGUAGAGUAUUCUAGGCUGCAAAUUUUUUCCCUUUUAGAAAUUUGACUAUAUCUUACCAGUCUUUUCUGGCCUGUAGUGUUUCUGUUGAGAAAUCAGAUGAUAGCCUUAUGGGGAUUCCCUUAUAAUUAAUGCUUUGUUUUUCUCUUGCUUCUUUUAGAAUCCUUUCUUUAACUUUUGCCAUUUUUAUUAUACUAUGUAUUGGUGUGGGCCUGUUUGGGUUCAACUUAUUCGGGGCCCUCUGUGCUUCCUCUAUCUUGAUAUCUGUUUCCUUAGAUUUGGAACAUUUACAGCCAUGAUUUCUUCAAAUAUAUUUUCAAUCCCCUUCUCUUUUUCUUCUUCUGGAAUACCUAUUAUGUGUAGAUUGGCCCAUGUUAUAUUAUCCCAUAGAUCUCUUAUAUUGCUUUCAUGUUUUUUCAUUUGGUUUUCUGUCUGGUCUGCUGCCCUGAUGGUGUGAUUUCCAGUAUUCUAUCUUCCAAGUCUAAUUCAUUCCUCUGCAUUAUUCAUUUUCCUCUUCAGUGCCUUUAACUCACCUUGCAUCCCUGGAAAUGAAUUUUCUAACUUUUCUUGGCUCCUCCUUAUAUUUUCUAGUUCCUUUCUAAAGUAAUCUGCAUUACUGUUCAUAUCUGCUCUUAAUUCCUUCAUAUUCACCCUUAAUUCCUUCAGUAUUUUCACUCUCUCCUUUUUGACCUCAGUGUCUGUUAGUCUCAGAAGUCAGUUUCAUUAUUUUCUCCUUCAGGUGAAUUCUUCUGUUCAUUUAACUGGGGAUGGUUCCUGAACUUCUUCAUAUUUGCUUAUACUUUUCUUAUUCUGUGUGUUUAGGGAAAAUAACUACUGUAGUCUUGGAGGGCUAUUGACAUGUGUGAAUACCCCUGGGUAUUUUGUUAGAGCUUACUAUUUAUUUUUAGGGUGCUGCAUGUGCUUCCAGGGAGAUGGAGGCAAUGGCCAGGCUUAGCAGCCUGUGUCUGGUUGCUCAGCCCUUGACAGUCACAAAGACGUGUGGAAAGUGGUGUGGGUUGCUCCUAGUUGCAGGGCCCUGGGAAGUGACUGUGAUCAGUCAGGUAUAGGCAGUGCCCAGAUGGUGUGGCAGUGGCCGCAGCAGGGCAGGUGUGUUUCCAGGGGAGUGAGAGCAACAGUGGGGGUGCUUGGUUGAAGUGCCCUCUUCUUUGCUGACCUCUGUGACUGGGGCUGAGGUGACUGGGGCUGCAGGUCUGUGCCUGUUCACAGACCCCUAGUGGUGGCAGGCCAUGCCCACCUCUGGUGUCUGAGAUGACUGCUGUGGUUUGCCCCCACCAUCUAUAGAUCAUGCAAGAGGUCCCAUGUCACACUUAGCCCCCUGCUGCUCAGCCCACACAAGAGGUGCCUGCCCACCUGUAGUCUGUGCCAGAGGUGCCCCACCCUCUGAGAGUUUGCUUGUGCACAGGGAAAGAUAUUUCUAUGGCAGUCCACCCUUCUUCCUCUCGUCCUCUCCAACAAUGGCGCCUUGCUUCUCUUGUGGGCCCUGACCUCCUCCAAGGUUCCCUCAGCUAUGGCAUUCCACUCCCCACGCCAUGGCACACUGCUCUCUAGCCCCUCAAGCUGUUUCCACAGAGCCAACUCUGGUCCUCUCGCCAGAACUGACCUCUGGAGCCUGAGUCUCAGCCUCCAGCCCCCACCCAUGCACCUCAGACUGUGGAGUCCCGUGAGAUGGUACAGAUGGUUUGUGUGGCUCUCACUCUGCUUUGCCCUCCUCAGUCCAGCUGCUGUACUUUUUUCUAGGAUUUUGAGGUCCCUCCAUCUCAGCUGAUCUCCCUAUCGGUUUGGUGGCUUUCUAGGCUGUGGGUUCCUUCCCUCUUUAACAGCUUCCUCUCAGAAGUGCUAGCUGGUCCCGUCAUGAUUCCUUUUCUCUCUCUCUCUCUUUUUGUUCCCCUUUUGUUCUACCCAGUUAUGUGGAGGGUUUCUUGCACAUUUUGGAGGUUUAAGGUCUUCUGCCAGUGUUCAGUAGAUGUUCUGUGUGAAUCAUUCUACACGUAGAUGAUUUUUCUUGAUGUGUUUGUGGGAGAAAGUGAGUGCCAUGUCUUACUCCUCUGCCAUCUUGGUCCUUCCCCCUAAAUUCCUUAUUCUUGAAUGUGUAAUCCAAGUUGCACUUCUUGAAAUAACCUGACUAAUAUGCUACUUUUAGGAUGAGCAGGAAAGAAAUAAUUCCAGCAUGUUUCCUGCUUUCCUCACAGCAAAUUAUGAGCAGUACAACACAUGCAGGAAGCUCAUUUCUUUUUCUGCUAAGGCAUGGAACUAUUUGUGCAAGGUGAGAAAUUAUGUCAUCUUUCCUUCUGAACAAAAGUUAGCACAUGCUGUAGACAAACUGUCUAAGAAGUGGACUAGGAUAGCAAAUUUCAGUUAUACAAAAAAGGGUGCACAAAAAAGGGUUUCACAUUUGCGUUAAUGUGAUUAUUUCAAAGACACAAGUUUCAAUGUUCAUGCACUUACUGACUCCUGUGUUUCAAAGGCAUCUGAGCACAGGAGAUUAGGAAAGUUCAGAAGCAGAUAACAAGAUUAGGACUAGCUCAAAAGUCAGUUUAGGGUCCAGGUAUUUCCCAGGCACACCUAACAUUUCACAGCUGUGAUAAUGUGGACAAGAAGGGAGUAACACCUUCAACAGGGACCAUAAUAAGCAGUAAGUUGUUAAAUGCAGAAAAAAGAACUGAAGGUAAAAGAGGCUGAUGGUAAGAUAAAAGCAGUUGAAAUGCCACAAAAUAACCUGAACUUUCUCAGUGUUCUUAUUCAUCAAUGACUGCGUAAUUAUACUUAGUUAUUUAUCCUUAUACUGGGAGGGGUUAUAAAACCUGUAAAACUAUGAGUACAAGUAGUUCAGUGGUCAAUCAGCCUCAGAAAAGCUAGUCACUGGUCCAUAAGUUUUCUGGAUGUAGCUGAGGUGUUUUCUGGAUGUAACUAUAUUUCCUUUCUUUGAUGGAGGAUUGCAUGCAUGCUACCUGCAUCUCCAAAGACAUUUGAUUCUGUCUUCUUUGGCUUUAGAUUCCAGAGCAACAUACUUAGAUUGGUGUAUUUACCACUGAUUGAAUAAAAUAAAUGAACUCUAACUGGUGUACCUGUGCCCUCUAUGUGUUCCCACGGUGUCUGAAUUAUCUACCUCUCUAUUCUACUGCACCAAAAUCUGGAAGUUGGAACGGGCCUGAUGAGUCAUUCAGUCUUCUCUGUCAUGAUGCAGUACAACAUCCCACAAGGAGGGGGUCACGUACCCUACCCUCUUCAAAAGGUGACUCAUUCCUUUACCUAUUUAUUUAUUUAUUUAUUUAUUUUUUAGGGCCACACCCGAGGCAUAUGGAAGUUCCCAGGCAAGGGGUCUAAUUGAAGCUACAGCUGCUGGCCUACACCACAGCCACAGCAAGGUGGGAUCUGAGCAGAUUCUGUGACCUGCACCACAGCUUACAGCAACACCAGGUCCUUAGCCCACUGAGCGGGGCCAGGGAUCGAACCCGCACAUUCAUGGAUACUAGUUAGGUUCGUUACCACUGAUCCACAGUGAGAGCGCUCUGCCUCUCCUUUUUAGAAAGCCCAUUCUUAUUACUGUUUCACAACUUUUCCCCACAAUUCUGCCCAUUUGUUAUGGUUAUUUCCUCCAGAACCUCCCAAAUGCACCUCCAUUUUUCUCUACAAAUUACAUCCACAGAAACAAUCACAUCUUAAAUUUCUUCCUCACAGAGCCUAACAUCCAGGAUUCCUUCAGGCACCUCUGUCUUGGGAAAGCAUUCAUUAUCCAUCUCAUCCCCUCCUCACUGCCAUUUAUACCACCUGGCUCCCAAGAACAAAUCCCACAAACUUGUACUCAGUGGCUUCCAUCCAACAGGCACUUUGCUUGUCAUCCAGGACAUGCUGGUUAUCGAGUAGCCCACAAUUAUCUGCAUAAUUUCUUCUGGGAUAAGUACAGCAAGAGAGAGUUAUAAGGUGCCUCCAAAGUAUAUACCAAGAGAGAAUCAAGGCGGUAAAGUCCAAAAAAGGCUGCCCUUAGGGGUUUCAUAUUGAAUUAAGAUCUGAAAGAAGAGUAGAUAUUAACUAGAGAAGCACAGAGAAGGGACACAGGACAUGGCAGGAAAGCAGAGAGAUGGGGAAGGGGGCUGUAGUUAGGGUGCAGAGAGCAAAGAGAGGCAAGGUGAGCAUUCAGCAGGAGAGCACAUGGGGCCUGAGAGCACACGGCCUGGCACUCAUGUUGGGGAAGACUGUCUUUAUCCUAAAGACAAGUAGAAGCCGAUGAAAGAUCAAAAGCAAGGGGCUGAGGAAUUUCAUGGUCAGGUGUGUCUCCUGACAACCUCCCUGGCUGCAGUGUGAAGAACCAAUUAGAAAGGACAGCAGAGACUGGAGGGAGACCAGUGGGAAAGGUUCUUACAGUGCUUCAGGCAAGAAAGGAGAUGGUGUCUUGGGCUACGGCGGCAAGAGAGGAAAGUAGACAGAAUGGAUAUUUGGGAAUAAAAUUGGAAGGAUUUGCUGAUAAAUUAGAUACUGACCAAGGGAGCAGCAAGUGCCAAAGGUGAAUCCUAGGUCUCUACCUGAAUAAAAGCAUGGCUAGCGGUGGUGCAUUUUCUCAGAGAAGAUAGGUUUGGGUGAGGGGGAGAACAGGAGAGUGGGUGCUGAUGACCAGAAGGCCACACUUCUCUACACAAGCCAUCAAUUACAGUUCUCAGCCUCACAGGCUAUGGAGUGCCCCAGGCUGAGUGCUUGUGUCCCCUAGAUUCCUAUGUUCAAAUCCUAGCCCCCACUGUGAUGGUUAGGAGCAGCCUUUGGUAGGCCAUGAGAUCAGAGCCCUCCUGAAUGGUAUUGGUGACCUUAUAAAAGAGAAGCAGGAGAGUCCCUUCCUCCGCUUGUGCGUGUGAGGACACAACCCGGAAGUCAGCAUCUGAAACCAGGAAGCAGGCUCUCACAGACACCCAGUCUGCUGGCCCUUGAUCCAGAGCUCUGAGAAAUAAAUUUCUGUUGUUUAUAAGCCAGCAGUCUAUAACAUUUAGUGAAAGCAGCCCAAACAGACUAAGGCAUAAAGAAAAUCAUGGGAGACUAUUUUUUUUUUUUUUUUGUCUUUUUGCCAUUUCUAGGGCUGCUCCCAUGGCAUAUGGAGACUAAAUAAAUAAAUAACAAACUUAAAGAAAUAUAGCCAUAUCUCUGAAAAUUUGCAAUACUGAGAAAAAGGGGGGAGAAAGCACUUAAUCCACAUCCCACAGUUCCAGCCCAUCUUUUCAACUUCUCCCUCCCCAAGACUCUCCCAUUCCUGAGACCACCAUGAGGCCUGAAAAAGCCUGUGGGUGUGGACUUAGCCAGUGUGACCAACAACAGCUCAGAGCACCAGCACCUGGGUCUCUGGCUUUCCACUCAAAAGCAAGCACAAGCCGAGACUCGGGAACCAGGAGAUGACCUUGUAAUGGUAACACCUCACCCAAAUAAGAGAUAAUCUGGACCAGCCGAGUCCCCUUAUUGAGCUCAGUCUGAAUUUCCAGCUCUUGUCAAGUCACUAAAGCACCAUAUAAGAGCAGUUCCCCCUCAAAGAGUAGUAAUAAUUCCCAUUUUCCAAAUUAUGCAUUGACUUUUUGGGAAACCUGUCAUUAGAGGAUUUUCUGUCUGCUGACCUUUGCUUUCACGUGUUGGGAGUGUUUUAUUAAGUAGGGCAUCUCAUUAAAAUACAGGACACUGCUACUGUCUCCCACGAAGUUUUGCAGUUCCAGUUACAAGCAUGAUGGGCAAACAUUUAUGACUCUUUGGGUCUUGGGUGUGGUUACACACUUGUCCUUUACCACUGCCAUCAUUUUUCUUACAUGAACCACCAGAUUUAAAUAGAUCAGAUACAGUUUUUUCUUCUUACAAUUUGGUACGAUUUAGAAAAGCAGUUUUUGGAUAUCCUUUUUCAUAGAUUUGUAAAGGGACAGAAUGAU